ACGAACGCUGGCGGCGUGCUUCACCCCUGCCAGUCGAACGGAAAGGCCCUGCUUUUGUGGGGUGCUCGAGUGGCGAACGGGUGAGUAACACGUGAGUAACCUGCCCUUGACUUUGGGAUAACUUCAGGAAACUGGGGCUAAUGCCGGAUAGGAGCUCCUGCUGCAUGGUGGGGGUUGGAAAGUUUCGGCGGUUGGGGAUGGACUCGCGGCUUAUCAGCUUGUUGGUGGGGUAGUGGCUUACCAAGGCUUUGACGGGUAGCCGGCCUGAGAGGGUGACCGGCCACAUUGGGACUGAGAUACGGCCCAGACUCCUACGGGAGGCAGCAGUGGGGAAUAUUGCACAAUGGGCGGAAGCCUGAUGCAGCAACGCCGCGUGCGGGAUGACGGCCUUCGGGUUGUAAACCGCUUUCGCCUGUGACGAAGCGUGAGUGACGGUAAUGGGUAAAGAAGCACCGGCUAACUACGUG
rnacentral:rRNA from 1 species